UGUCUUGUAAUUGGAAUGAUGGGAAUUUAAACCUCUUCCAGAGUAUCAAUUGGAGGGCAAGUCUGGUGCCAGCAGCCGCGGUAAUUCCAGCUCCAAUAGCGUAUAUUAAAAUUGUUGCAGUUAAAAAGCUCGUAGUUGAAUUUCUGCUGCAUUGUUUCUUCUCAUGUCGAGUGAUUCAUUGUGGCUUAUUUCGGAUUGUUUUUUACUUUCCGGAUGAUUACUUUGAGAAAAUUAGAGUGCUCAAAGCAGGCUUUUGCCUUGAAUAGUUUAGCAUGGAAUAAUAAAGUAGGACUUUGGUUCUAUUUUGUUGGUUUUAGGUACCAAAGUAAUGGUUAAUAGGAACAGUUGGGGGCAUUCGUAUUUAACUGUCAGAGGUGAAAUUCUUAGAUUUGUUAAAGACGAACUACUGCGAAAGCAUUUGCCAAGGAUGUUUUCAUUAAUCAAGAACGAAAGUUAGGGGAUCGAAGACGAUCAGAUACCGUCGUAGUCCUACCAUAAACUA
rnacentral:rRNA from 1 species